GCGCGGAUGGCGGAAUUGGUAGACGCGCUAGCUUGAGGUGCUAGUGGGUAAAACCGUGGGGGUUCGAGUCCCCCUUCGCGCA
rnacentral:tRNA from 1 species